CAGUCGCCACGGGAAUACAGAGGGUGCGAGCGUUAAUCGGAUUUACUGGGCGUAAAGCGUGUGUAGGCGGCUUCUUAAGUCGGAUGUGAAAUCCCUGAGCUUAACUUAGGAAUUGCAUUCGAUACUGGGAAGCUAGAGUAUGGGAGAGGAUGGUAGAAUUCCAGGUGUAGCGGUGAAAUGCGUAGAGAUCUGGAGGAAUACCGAUGGCGAAGGCAGCCAUCUGGCCUAAUACUGACGCUGAGGUACGAAAGCAUGGGGAGCAAACAGGAUUAGAUACCCCUGUAGUCCCUGUCUCUUAUAC
rnacentral:rRNA from 1 species